rnacentral:lncRNA from 10 species
CAGACACCUGUUAUCCCAGUUACUAGGGAGGUUGAGGCAGGAGAAUUGCUUGAACAGGGGCUGGGGGUGGGGGGCGGAGGUUGUAGUGAGCCAAGAUUGCACCACUGCACUCUAGGCUGGGCAACAAGAGUGACGUUCCGUCUCAAAAAAAAAAAAAAAAGACUUAGAAUAGCCAAACAUACUUGAAAAAGAACAACAUUGUAUACUAUGCAAAUUCAAACCAUGACACACCCUUCAGAGUGGCUACAAUUCAAAAGUAUUGGCAGGGAUGUAGACGAACUAGAAUUAUCUUUGUGGAACUGUAUAACUUAGUAAAACCAGCUUGCAAAAAGUUUGAAAUGAUCUGCUAAAGUUGAACAUAUGCCCUUGUUAUUGCCACAAUAAUGCCCUAUAAUAAAUCACCCCAAACUCGGUUAGCUUUUGAUAACAGCAUUAACUUUCAGAAUCCUUGAUCUUCAGGAUGUCUAAGGCUCUGUUAAUCCAAAGUGUGUUGGACUGUGGGUUGGUG